UGGGUUGACCUGGGGGUCUUCCUAUGGGAC
rnacentral:piRNA from 1 species